GCGUUAUCCGGAAUUAUUGGGCGUAAAGCGCGCGCAGGCGGUUUCUUAAGUCUGAUGUGAAAGCCCACGGCUCAACCGUGGAGGGUCAUUGGAAACUGGGGAACUUGAGUGCAGAAGAGAAAAGCGGAAUUCCACGUGUAGCGGUGAAAUGCGUAGAGAUGUGGAGGAACACCAGUGGCGAAGGCGGCUUUUUGGUCUGUAACUGACGCUGAGGCGCGAAAGCGUG
rnacentral:rRNA from 1 species